GACGAACGCUGGCGGCGUGCUUAACACAUGCAAGUCGAACGGAAAGGCCCUGCUUUUGUGGGGUGCUCGAGUGGCGAACGGGUGAGUAACACGUGAGUAACCUGCCCUUGACUUUGGGAUAACUUCAGGAAACUGGGGCUAAUACCGGAUAGGAGCUCCUGCUGCAUGGUGGGGGUUGGAAAGUUUCGGCGGUUGGGGAUGGACUCGCGGCUUAUCAGCUUGUUGGUGGGGUAGUGGCUUACCAAGGCUUUGACGGGUAGCCGGCCUGAGAGGGUGACCGGCCACAUUGGGACUGAGAUACGGCCCAGACUCCUACGGGAGGCAGCAGUGGGGAAUAUUGCACAAUGGGCGGAAGCCUGAUGCAGCAACGCCGCGUGCGGGAUGACGGCCUUCGGGUUGUAAACCGCUUUCGCCUGUGACGAAGCGUGAGUGACGGUAAUGGGCAAAGAAGCACCGGCUAACUACGUGCCAGCAGCCGCGGUGAUACGUAGGGUGCGAGCGUUGUCCGGAUUUAUUGGGCGUAAGGGGCUCGUAGGUGGUUGAUCGCGUCGGAAGUGUAAUCUUGGGGCUUAACCCUGAGCGUGCUUUCGAUACGGGUUGACUUGAGGAAGGUAGGGGAGAAUGGAAUUCCUGGUGGGAGCGGUGGAAUGCGCAGAUAUCAGGAGGAACACCAGUGGCGAAGGCGGUUCUCUGGGCCUUUCCUGACGCUGAGGAGCGAAAGCGUGGGGAGCGAACAGGCUUAGAUACCCUGGUAGUCCACGCUGUAAACGGUGGGUACUAGGUGUGGGGUCCAUUCCACGGGUUCCGUGCCGUAGCUAACGCUUUAAGUACCCCGCCUGGGGAGUACGGCCGCAAGGCUAAAACUCAAAGGAAUUGACGGGGCCCCGCACAAGCGGCGGAGCAUGCGGAUUAAUUCGAUGCAACGCGUAGAACCUUACCUGGGUUUGACAUGGAUCGGGAGUGCUCAGAGAUGGGUGUGCCUCUUUUGGGGUCGGUUCACAGGUGGUGCAUGCCUGUCGUCAGCUCGUGUCGUGAGAUGUUGGGUUAAGUCCCGCAACGAGCGCAACCCUUGUUCACUGUUGCCAGCACGUUAUGGUGGGGACUCAGUGGAGACCGCCGGGGUCAACUCGGAGGAAGGUGGGGAUGACGUCAAGUCAUCAUGCCCCUUAUGUCCAGGGCUUCACGCAUGCUACAAUGGCUGGUACAGAGAGUGGCGAGCCUGUGAGGGUGAGCGAAUCUCGGAAAGCCGGCCUCAGUUCGGAUUGGGGUCUGCAACUCGACCUCAUGAAGUCGGAGUCGCUAGUAAUCGCAGAUCAGCAACGCUGCGGUGAAUACGUUCCCGGGGCU
rnacentral:rRNA from 1 species